rnacentral:rRNA from 1 species
UACAGAGGUCUCAAGCGUUGUUCGGAUUCACUGGGCGUAAAGGGUGCGUAGGUGGCGAGGUAAGUCGGAUGUGAAAGCUCGGAGCUCAACUCCGAAAUGGCAUUGGAAACUACCUUGCUCGAGGGUCGGAGGGGGGACUGGAAUACUUGGUGUAGCAGUGAAAUGCGUAGAUAUCAAGUGGAACACCAGUGGCGAAGGCGAGUCCCUGGACGACUCCUGACACUGAGGCACGAAAGCUAGGGGAGCAAACAGG